rnacentral:rRNA from 1 species
CAAUAGCGUAUAUUUAAGUUGUUGCAGUUAAAAAGCUCGUAGUUGGAUUUCGGUUGAGAACGGCCGGUCCGCCGCUUGGUGUGCACUGGCUGGUUUCAACUUCCUGUAGAGGACGCGCUCUGGCUUCACGGCUGGACGCGGAGUCUACGUGGUUACUUUGAAAAAAUUAGAGUGUUCAAAGCGGGCUUACGCUUGAAUAUUUCAGCAUGGAAUAACACUAUAGGACUCCUGUCCUAUUUCGUUGGUCUCGGGACGGGAGUAAUGAUUAAGAGGAACAGUUGGGGGCAUUCGUAUUUCAUUGUCAGAGGUGAAAUUCUUGGAUUUAUGAAAGACGAACUUCUGCGAAAGCAUUUGCCAAGGAUGUUUUCAUUA